rnacentral:rRNA from 1 species
GACGAACGCUGGCGGCGUGCCUAAUACAUGCAAGUAGAACGCUGAAGAGAGGAGCUUGCUCUUCUUGGAUGAGUUGCGAACGGGUGAGUAACGCGUAGGUAACCUGCCUGGUAGCGGGGGAUAACUAUUGGAAACGAUAGCUAAUACCGCAUAAAAUUGAUUAUUGCAUGAUAAUUAAUUGAAAGAUGCAAUUGCAUCACUACCAGAUGGACCUGCGUUGUAUUAGCUAGUUGGUGAGGUAACGGCUCACCAAGGCGACGAUACAUAGCCGACCUGAGAGGGUGAUCGGCCACACUGGGACUGAGACACGGCCCAGUCUCCUACGGGAGGCAGCAGUAGGGAAUCUUCGGCAAUGGGGGGAACCCUGACCGAGCAACGCCGCGUGAGUGAAGAAGGUUUUCGGAUCGUAAAGCUCUGUUGUAAGAGAAGAACGGGUGUGAGAGUGGAAAGUUCACACUGUGACGGUAUCUUACCAGAAAGGGACGGCUAACUACGUGCCAGCAGCCGCGGUAAUACGUAGGUCCCGAGCGUUGUCCGGAUUUAUUGGGCGUAAAGCGAGCGCAGGCGGUUAGAUAAGUCUGAAGUUAAAGGCUGUGGCUUAACCAUAGUAUGCUUUGGAAACUGUUUAACUUGAGUGCAGAAGGGGAGAGUGGAAUUCCAUGUGUAGCGGUGAAAUGCGUAGAUAUAUGGAGGAACACCGGUGGCGAAAGCGGCUCUCUGGUCUGUAACUGACGCUGAGGCUCGAAAGCGUGGGGAGCAAACAGGAUUAGAUACCCUGGUAGUCCACGCCGUAAACGAUGAGUGCUAGGUGUUAGGCCCUUUCCGGGGCUUAGUGCCGCAGCUAACGCAUUAAGCACUCCGCCUGGGGAGUACGACCGCAAGGUUGAAACUCAAAGGAAUUGACGGGGGCCCGCACAAGCGGUGGAGCAUGUGGUUUAAUUCGAAGCAACGCGAAGAACCUUACCAGGUCUUGACAUCCCUCUGAUCGCUCUAGAGAUAGAGUUUUCCUUCGGGACAGAGGUGACAGGUGGUGCAUGGUUGUCGUCAGCUCGUGUCGUGAGAUGUUGGGUUAAGUCCCGCAACGAGCGCAACCCCUAUUGUUAGUUGCCAUCAUUCAGUUGGGCACUCUAGCGAGACUGCCGGUAAUAAACCGGAGGAAGGUGGGGAUGACGUCAAAUCAUCAUGCCCCUUAUGACCUGGGCUACACACGUGCUACAAUGGCUGGUACAACGAGUCGCAAGCCGGUGACGGCAAGCUAAUCUCUGAAAGCCAGUCUCAGUUCGGAUUGUAGGCUGCAACUCGCCUACAUGAAGUCGGAAUCGCUAGUAAUCGCGGAUCAGCACGCCGCGGUGAAUACGUUCCCGGGCCU